GACGUAGGGUGCAAGCGUUAAUCGGAAUUACUGGGCGUAAAGCGUGCGCAGGCGGUUAUGCAAGACAGAUGUGAAAUCCCCGGGCUUAACCUGGGAACUGCAUUUGUGACUGCAUAGCUAGAGUACGGUAGAGGGGGAUGGAAUUCCGCGUGUAGCAGUGAAAUGCGUAGAUAUGCGGAGGAACACCGAUGGCGAAGGCAGUCCCCUGGACCUGUACUGACGCUCAUGCACGAAAGCGUGGGGAGCAAACAGG
rnacentral:rRNA from 1 species